rnacentral:lncRNA from 1 species
AUGUGGAGAGGCUGCGGGUGCCAUUUUUGAAGAGGGAAAUGGCUGCCCGGAAGUGGAAAAGGGCGGAUAAUGUUACCGUAGCCAUUUUGGAUGAGGGAAUUAAUAUCCGGAAGCGCCUCCAUUUAUGGCGGUUGUUGCCAGCGGCGCCAUUUUGUGUCAGGGAAAUAGAUGCCGGAAGCGCCUCCAUUUUGAAAGAUGGGGGGAGAGGGACGUCGGCGGCAAUAGGCGGAACUUCUCACGGAUCUGGGCAAAUCGCUGGGCGGAUUAGCUAACCCUUUCCUCUCCGAGGUAGGAUCCUCUCCGUGUUUGCCACCAGCCGGAGCUCGCGGUCCACGGGUAGCCGCUGGCCCCGGAGGGCGAGUCCUCUUUGCCCCUUUGCCUGCUUCGUUGAGAGGGGGAAAUGUGUGGCCUGCAUGCGCGGCCGGGGAACCCUUGGUCAAAAUUCAUUUUAAAGGCUGGGGGGGGGGCCCAGAACCGAAUUAACGGCGACGCAGGGUGUUGUCUUUUAUUGUUAUUUACUAUAGUGGAUUUAUCUGGCGGUUCACAGGAUAAAAAGACGGGGUAGAAAUAUCUGUAAAUAGUUUUUAAAAACACCAAUAACCUUCCCUCCCAGAAGCGUUUAAAGGCUGUAAAGCCCUUUAAAAAUGCCUAAAAAGAACAUUUGGGGCUUGGUCUCGUCUCCCCUAACCCUUAACAGUAGAGGUUUUUUAUUUAUUCUAUUUUGGGGAGAAACACCCCUGGCCCUGUCUCCUUUCCCCAUUUCUCAGCAACUCCCAAGUAAUUGGCUUGAGAUCUCUAUUGCAUUUAACCCUUAGACAGCUUUUGUGAGCCUAAUCAAGCAAUGUGCUGAAAAUUUAAUUUGCUCAGACGAACCAUUGCUUCCAUCAGUGGUUUUGGAACCAGGUAAUUCCUCCAGAUUUAUCCACACUAGCCAAGUAAAGUCAAAACACAUACCUUGAAUUGAAUGCCACAAGAAUAAAUGGGGAUCAGCCCCUGCUAUAGUGGGCAGCCCCAAAAGCCAUUUGUGUUGUUAAGAUUUUCAAAAGCAGAAAUAAUAUUUACAAAACAGCAACUUCAGACCAGUUUUGGACACUUGCAGCACUUUGCAAUGUUAAGAGGUGCUCUAAAGAAAAGCACUUUCUACAUUCAUGAGCCUCAUCCCCCCCCCCCUUUUGCUGGAGGUAUAAAUGUUGUUAGCAAUGUGCAAUCACCCUGAAGGCUUCAGGUCUGCUCCUGACUGUUGAAAUGCUCCUGGGGAGGCUGUAAGUCAGUCAGUAAACUCUGCUUCCAGUCAGUAAACUGAUUGCAAGGUGUCCUUCAUGGCAUAACUUGCAGCUGCAGGAGAAGGUGUGGAUCCUAUACCUAAAUAUCCCUGAAAGUGUCAUUUAAAAGUGCAACAUCUAGCAAUUAAAUUCAAUCACCUUUGAGCAGAAGGUUGUGACACCUGCAUAUUCCUGGGUUGCAGCGAGCUGGACUUGAUGACCAUCACAGGAUUCUUUGGAAAAUGCUUCAGAAAUAAUAGAAAUAGCAUUCAUUUAAGUUAGUCGUAUGAUGGCACAGUAGUCUCACUUCCCUGUAAACUGUAUUUUUCGCCCCAUAGGGCGCACCGGCCCAUAGGGCGCACCUAGUUUUUUUGGGGGGGGGAAUAAAGGGGGGGAAUUAUUUUUCCCCCCAGGCUGCGCUCCCCGGGUUUCGGGCUGCAGGCUGCUGUCCGCAAGCCUUGGGAGCCUGGCAGGAAGUCGCGCCGGUCUCCCCAGGCUUGCGGAUAUCUGCCCGAAGCCUGGAGAGCAAGUGUGCACCGACCCCUCUCGCUAUCCAGGCUUCAGCGAAAGCCUGCAUUUGCCCCAUAGGACGCACACACAUUUCCCCUUCAUUUUUGGAGGGGAAAAGGUGCGUCCUAUAGGGCAAAAAAUACGGUACUUUAUUACUCCUUGCACUGCAAUUUGAGCUUGAUAUAUCCUAUGCCUGUUUUUACAUGGACCCCUCUUUCAGUUUUUCUGAAAGAAACCUGUCCCACUGAUAUUUCUCAGGUCUGUAUGGGCUCUGCUGAAUUCCUGCUCCAAAAAAGUGGAAACACUAUGACAAGCUUAAAAAAAUGUUUUAGUAUAACUUUAUGAAAAAUACAGAAGCUUUUCUACUAGGGAUAACGGACACAGGUAUAGCAAGAGAAGAUCAGAAAAUAUUCCUCUAUGCCACAGGAGUGGCAAGGAUCCUAAUUGCUAAAAACUGGAAAAAGAAGCUGUGCCAACAAAAACGGAAUGGCAAGACAAACUGUUAGAGUAUAUUGAACUGGCUAGAUUAACAGAGGCAAUUAGAGAUCACACUAGACAAAGAGUUUCAAAAAGCAUGGGGGAAAGCAGAGAAUACUUCACAAAACAGUGCCCUAAAAUACAUAUGAGCUUCCUUGCAGUGGGUUGGACUAGAUGCCCCUUGAUGCCCCUUUCAUGUAUCCCAUGCUCCCUGUCUCUCUUCCUCUCCUUUUAAUGACACUUCCCCGGUUUUUCCUUCCUAGCUGGGCCGCCUCCGGGAACCUAAGUGCUGGCACCUGCAAUUUCGCCUGCUGGCAUUGUUCUGACAAGAUCCAUUGUGGUAAGUUUUGGCGUCACCAAAGACCGCUGGGAUUGCUCUGACAAGAUCCAUUGACACCAGUUUUGGCGUCACCAAAGGAAUUAAGGAGAUGUGCUUCAAUUCCCUCGCAGAUAGUAUUUAACCCAUCACGGCAUCUCUCAAAGCAUAGGAACUGUAGUUUCCUAUGGGGGGAGAGAAUAUUCUGCGCAACCUUUCCCAAGGGAACUCUGGGAGUUAUAGCUCUGAGAGGGUCUCUUUGGGAAACGGAACAAACUACAGUUACCACGAUGUCCCCCCAAAGCACCCUGGGAACUAUUGCUUGCUCUGGGUGUUGAGGGUUGUGGCAUCUGAACAGUAAACAAUCUGUCCUUGCAUUCCACAGUAUACAACUCCUUGCCGUCCCAAGCCCAUUUCUCUUCCUAGGGAACUCUGGGAACUGUAGCUCAUGGGAGGAACAGCACUUGGUGCCCUGAACUCUGGGAACCAAUGGGCUGGCACCGCCGAGUGUCGCCUUGGCCUGCGACUUUGAAGGCACCGCCUGCAGCUGGGAGGACGUCAGCAUGGGCACUGACCAGGGUAAACUUGCUUCAUUUGAAAGGCAGAGAAGCAUUGCUAAGCAGUUAGAGCACCCCUUUGACCUGGUGCCCCCCAACCAGGCUGGUACAUGAGCACCUCGGAGCAGCGAACCAAGCCACCUGACUCCGCCUCCCUGACCAUGAGUGACGCGGCCACAGCCUGUGAACUCCGCACCUGGUACGUAGAAAGGUAAGCUUGGGGCACUGGUGGUCAGAAAUCCAACAGGCGCAGAGCCAUGUGCUUGGCCUUUUUCCCUGUGUGGAGGAAAUGCCACGAGGCACAGUUGUCGUAAUUCCAUAUUGAUAUCACAUAUUACAUUUCUAAGCUGCAGGACAUACCGUGGUGAUAUCAUAUUGUCAAGGCUGCCUCAAGUCUUAGCUCACAAAAGACCAACGCCUACGUCUUCUUGUAUACAAAGGUGUUUAUUGCAGUUCAUGGUUUGCUUGACAUCCUAGGCGCGCAGCCUUACGUCUCUUACGCUAGACCGCCGAAGUCCCCUCUGAGUCAGUCCCUCCUCUGCACCAAUUUAAGAGACUUGCGCUGCUCCACCUCUUUCUCUCCUUCCUUUUCCGCAGGGUCCUUCUACCCACUGGGGUUUCCCCCCUCCUGGAUUCCUCUGACGCGGAAUCAGACUGCUCUUCCCCCCUCCUGCGGGCUUUGGGACCUGGCCCCUCCUCCGGGCUCCCUGCACUUCCG